UGGGGGAAUUUUGGACAAUGGGGGAAACCCUGAUCCAGCCAUCCCGCGUGUGCGAUGAAGGCCUUCGGGUUGUAAAGCACUUUUGGCAGGAAAGAAACGUCGCGGGUUAAUACCCCGCGAAACUGACGGUACCUGCAGAAUAAGCACCGGCUAACUACGUGCCAGCAGCCGCGGUAAUACGUAGGGUGCAAGCGUUAAUCGGAAUUACUGGGCGUAAAGCGUGCGCAGGCGGUUCGGAAAGAAAGAUGUGAAAUCCCAGAGCUUAACUUUGGAACUGCAUUUUUAACUACCGGGCUAGAGUGUGUCAGAGGGAGGUGGAAUUCCGCGUGUAGCAGUGAAAUGCGUAGAUAUGCGGAGGAACACCGAUGGCGAAGGCAGCCUCCUGGGAUAACACUGACGCUCAUGUACGAAAAGCNUGGGGACAAACAGGAUUAGAUACCCUGGUAUCCACGCCCUAAACGAUGUCAACUAGCUNUGGGGCCUUNGGGCCUUGGUAGCGCAGCUAACGCGUGAAGUUGACCGCCUGGGGAGUACGGUCGCAAGAUU
rnacentral:rRNA from 1 species